CCUGCCAGUAAUCAUAUGCUUGUCUGAAAGAUCUAAACCAUGCAUGUCUAAGUUUAAAUCCUAGGAUGAUGAAACUGCGAACGGCUCAUUACAACAGCAAUAAUCCUUCUGAAGGAUUCAAUUUAUUGAUUGGAUAACUGUAGGAAAUCUAGAGCUAAUACAUACAUAAAAUCUAUUGCAAAAUAGAUGUAUUUAUUGGAAACAAGACUGAUCCUUUUGGAUUUACUAUGGUGAAACACAAUAAAGAUACUGAUCUUGGACAAUUUAUUGUUCGAGACAUAACAGAGGUGUUACUGAUCUAUCAACUUUCGAUGGUAAUGUAAAGGAUUACCAUGGUUGUAACGGAUCACGGGGAAUUAGGGUUUGAUUCCGGAGAGGAAGCUUGAGAAUUGGCUACCAUUUCUAAGGAAGGCAGCAGGUGCGCAAAUUACCCAAUCUUGAUACAAGGAGGUAGUGACAAGAAAUACUAGAAUAGUUAUCUUUUAGAUGACUAUUUUUCGGAAUGAGAACAAUUUAAAAACAUUAACGAGUAACAACUAGAGGGCAAGUCUGGUGCCAGCAGCCGCGGUAAUUCCAGCUCUAGUAGUGUAUAUUAAAGUUGUUGUGGUUAAAAAGCUCGUAUUUGAACGUUACAUUUGUUGUUGGUUCCUCAUAUUAUUUGAGCGUAAUUAAACAUUGAAUGGAGAUAUUUAGAUUGUGAUUUAUUACUUUCUAAAUCCUUACUUUGAUAAAAAUUGGUGGAUCAAACAAGACUUUAAGUCUGAAAAAUUUUGCAUGGGAUAAGAAAAUAUGGUUAUUGUUUCAUUUAAAGUCUAUUGAAACGUAACAAUGAUUAAAAGGGACAGUUGGGGUCACUCAUAUUUAAGCGGGAGGGGUGAAAUCCUAAGAUCGUUUAAAGAUGAACUAAAGCGAAAGCAUUUGACAAAUAUGUUUUCAUUGAUCAAGAACGAAAGUUGGGGGAGCGAAGAUGAUCAUAUACCGUUGUAGUCCUUUACCGUAAACUAUGUCGACUUAGGAUAAAAUUCCGUUACAUGGAUGACUUCUUUUGCACUAUAUGAGAAAUCAAAGUAUUCAGACUCCAGGGGGAGAAACGUAACAAUGAUUAAAAGGGACAGUUGGGGUCACUCAUAUUUAAGCGGGAGGGGUGAAAUCCUAAGAUCG
rnacentral:rRNA from 1 species